rnacentral:rRNA from 1 species
UACGUAGGGUGCGAGCGUUGUCCGGAAUUAUUGGGCGUAAAGAGCUCGUAGGCGGUGUGUCACGUCGUUCGUGAAAACCUGCAGCUUAACUGUGGGCGUGCGGUCGAUACGGGCAUCACUGGAGUUCGGCAGGGGAGACUGGAAUUCCUGGUGUAGCGGUGAAAUGCGCAGAUAUCAGGAGGAACACCGAUGGCGAAGGCAGCUCGCUGGGACGGUACUGACGCUGAGACGCGAAAGCGUGGGGAGCAAACAGG